rfam:Ipomoea nil DNA, scaffold: scaffold3227, cultivar: Tokyo-kokei standard.
AGGGAUGUAGCUUAGAUGGUAGAGCGCUUGCUUAGCAUGCGAGAGAUAUGGAGAUCGAUACCCUGCAUCUCCA